AUCGCUUCUCAGCCUUUAGGCUAAGAUCAAGUGUAGUAUCUGUUCUUAUCAGGUUAAUAUCUAAUGGGUCCCUUGUCUGGGGACCAUAUAUUAAAUAGAUUUUUUAAGACAGUGGCCGAUUUCAAAGCUUGCUACGUCGCUCUAUGCAUUGACCCGAUAUGGCAGUAUCUGUGGGUACAGUGCAACACCC